rnacentral:lncRNA from 1 species
UGUGACUCACUAAAGCCUCAGAUGAUUGUUCAACCUCUUUAGCAAGAAAAUAUUUUUUAAAAUUAAGGGUUUUACAUGCGCACAUAUGGUCCUCCUAGUUAAUUUGAAAACUGACUCUGGCUGCAGCCGGGACAACGUGGGAUCCUCAACCUGUUGCGCCACUGCGAGAAGACUGGGGAGUAAUUCUAACUCCCGUGACUUCGUCGUGCCUCGAAGUAGAAGUCUAGACAUCUGGAUUUGGACAUCUGGAUUCAUCCCUUGCUGUAUCCUCUAGGUUCUUUAAGGACACCGUCAAAGAUGGUGACCGACGCAGACCCUUGUAAAACGUCACAAGACUGGCAUACUUGUAGGUGAUAAGGACGGAGAAAUAAAACAUAGGAUCUCAGCCCGGCCUUACAGGUAGUUGCCAAAUUCAUGUGUUCGGGGCCAGCCACACCACCCUGUCCCCAGCAGUGUCCCCUUCUCUCUUUCUUGCUGCUCGCUUCUUCUCACUUCAUUUUUAUGUGAUGAGGGCAGGGACCGUGUGCACUUGCCUGUUGUCACGAAUGCCUCAGUCCAGCAUUUCUCACACUCGGAUGUGCACCUGCUGUUCAAGUGCAGAUUCUGAUGUAAGAGCCCAGGGCUGUGGGGUGGCUUGAGAACCCGUACUUCUAACAGGCUCUCAGGUGACCCAGAGCUGAAUCGCCCACCCGUUGGGUACUCACUGGGCUAGAGGCUAGAGCAGUUGUACGUAGUCGUAUGUUUGAUUCCCCAGGCGGGGGCGGGGGAUAAAAUCCUAAUGCCAGAUUGUUCCCCGGGCCAGUAACACCCGAAUUCUUGAGGAUGGACGAGGCAGCGGCUGCUGGUUAGCAGGAGCAGUCAGCUCUCCCGGAAGAGCAGCCCGAUUUAGCAUUUAUGCCUCCUUUUCUUUCCAGCACAGGAUGCUAGUGAACUUGGUGUUGGGAAGAAGUGCUAACUAAUGUUGGGCUCGUCAGCCAGCGCCCCCCUGGACCCGGGCCUUUGCAUUUUCAUCCCCUCCCAGCGGAUGAGCUGUCACUGUGAUUCCCUUUCGAGGCUGACGUGGAGAACCUCUGUUUGAAAGUUUCUGCCUGUUAGUUAGGGAUACAAGUGCUUCUGCUCCUUCUCUCGGCCUUGCAGCCCUGGGCUUUUGUUUCUGCCCGCUCCCCGCCUACCUUGGAAGCCCAUUUUCAUUUUCGGACCAUCUUAGGUGCUGCCCAAAGUCACAACAUCUGGAGCGCAGCCUGGAGCUGAGACGCGGGGGCUCUGCCGUGAGCCUGCUCGGCCCGGCCCCGAGGCUGGGCGCUCUCAUCCGGACCUGCUUUGGUGCAGGAGAGCAGGAUGGCAGCGGCCGGGAGGUUUCGCAUCCAGACUGAGCCAGGGUGAAGGCCUCCGAGCAGCGGCAGUUUCUCCUUCCAGGGGGACCUUCAGCCCCUCCGUCCGCUUUCGGCAGGUGGUGUGUGCAUGGGGAGCACACGUCCCGAGGGCUUGGCUCCGGCUCUGCCAUUGACCGUCCCGUGACCCUGGGCUCUAACUUCUUGCUGAGCCUCCGUUUUCUCUCGGGCAAAAUGCAGGUGCUAAUCAUCCCCACUUCAUGGAUUGCUGGGAUCACAUCUCUGUUGUGGAAAACUUUAGGGUAAACUAAAGUGAGCUAGAGGCAGAACAUCGGGUCUGGGCCGUGUGUCUGCCGAUUGGCUAGUUUAACCUUGAGAAAAACCUCUGCCACUGCCUGCCCGUCUGUUUCCGGUCUCCAAGCCCAGAUCUUUCUCUUCGCAGGCCCCAGACACGCCCCUGGUACAUGGAGAUAUCUCAUACUGGCAAUAAUAUAACAUUUCUUUUAUUUGAUGAUGUUAUUGAAUAAUUUUUUAUUUUUAAUCUAAGCAAACACUUAAGUUUAAAAAAACUAGUAACUAUGAAUCUUAACAUAGAAAUGUUAGCCCCUGCCCGUCUUCCGCCCAGUGCCGAUCCACCACUUCCACUGCUUUUAACUGGUUUAUCUGGAAAUAGCUCUACAUGUCUAAACAGCAUCCUUACUCUACAAGUCUUGAUGAUUUUUAAGUUUUAAUUGUUACCUGUUGACUUCCUAGCAUGGGAAGAAAGGAUUUAACCCUCCCCUCCCGUCAGUCACGGACACAGACACACCCCUCCGCACCCCCCACCCUCCUCUUCCAUCCGUUCUGUAUGCGGAUCGUACGUUUUGGUGGGAUAUUCGGAUGUCACACUGGGUUCACAGUUAAGUCAGAUAACAUGUGUGAUGACACGCAGCUGCACGUCUUUGCGUACACAAAUUGUUUCCCUGAAGGUAAUAAUUGCAUUGCUUUCCUGUUUGCUGAGUGUUCUCCUGGUAUCACUCGUUCGGCCCAGAAUCUUUAUAAAAGUGUCGCAUGUCCUUUCACUGCACCCACACACGUGUGCCAUCUCUCAGCCCCUGGAGCCCAUGUCUCUGGGGGUCCCGCCUCCUUGGUUCCACGCUGGCUGGCCGCUCUCGAGACCCACUGCGUCACCGCAUCCCCGGGCUCCCGGGCCUGGGCUCCGUUCCCGUCCUCCUGGGGAACGCGGCCCCCCCCUCGCUCUGCUGUGGCUUCUCUGCCUCCUGGAUCCCGUGGCUUCUUCCUGCUUGUUUUCCUCCUUCGCUUUGUAGAAGCACGUUGUCCAGUAAUGUCUCCAAAAGAGGAAGGAUGGCUUUUGUUUCUGGAGGGUGCACACCUGAAACGGUCUUUAUUCCACGCUUCCAUGUGGUUGAUUAUUUGAUUGGACACAGAAUUACCAAUACAGCUCAGAAACAUUUUUUCUCCCGAUUUUAAACCAUUAUGCCAUUGCUGUUAUUGUCAGGUGUGCUUCGGAUUUUCAGUACUUUCUAGGCGAACUGUUUUUUGUUUUAUUUUUUUUUUAUCACUGUUAACUUUAAACGUGUUCUCUCUAACUCUAGUGUCUUGAAACUUCACAGACAGAUAUUUUGAUGUAGGUCUUUUUCCUUUACUGUUCUACAUUGCCAGGGGACCCUUUCAAACUGGAAACUUAUCUUUCUCUUUUUACAUAGUUAAAAUAAUUCUGUUCAAAUAAUAUUUUCUAAUAUACUCUGAAAUCAUGAGUGUAUUUUUUUUUUUUUGUCUUUUUAGGGCCACACCCACGGCAUAUGGAGGUUCCCAGGCUAGAUCUAAUCAGAGCUGCAGCUGCCUGCUGAUGCCACAGCCACAGCAAAGACAGAUCCAAUCCGUGUCUGCGACCUGCACCACAGCUCAUGGCAACGUGGGAUCCUUAACCCACUGAGCAAGGCCAGGGAUUGGGCCCGAAACAUCAUGGUUCCUAGUCGGAUUCGUUUCCGCUGUGCCAGGACGGGAACUCCUGAAAUCAUGAGUCUAGAAGUCAAUUUCAGAUUUGUAUUAUUUCUUUUUUAAUUUAAAUAUAGUUGAUUUACAGUGUUAUGUUAGUUUCAGAUGUAUAAUAUAGUCAUUCAAUUUUUUAUAGCUUACACACCAUUUAAAGUUAUUAUAAAAUAGUGGCUACAUUCCCUGUACGGUACCUUACACGCAUGUAUAUUCUUAGUCGUAUUUUAAAUUUCUUAUUAAAAUUACUCCUUAACAUUUUAGAAGCUGGAGUUAGAAUAGGAAAUGUAUUACUCAGUACACAGUGAGACACUGAAUUUUCUGUGGCAAACUUCUCUAACCUGUUAUAAAACAAGGUCCUUGAUAGGGUGAAGGAUAAAGAAACCAGAAUCCCCGGCGUAGGUCACGUGAUGAAGAAGGGUCAUCCUGUUUUCUCACACAGACAAGUAGAUGGGAAAUCUCUUUACAAAUAAACAGAGCAGGGAAUGAGCAGAUUAAAUGUUUCUCAGGUGAGACAGAGCGUCCAGUAACAGAGUGUCACGGGGUGGCUUUCUCAGUUCCUUGGUACAAUAUACCCUUUUAGUGAUGAAUAGGCAUCGUGCAUUCCAACAUAGCCAAAUGACUAGCGUUGCAUUGGAAUUGGAAUAAAUGUAAUUUUAAGAAUUCAAGACACCAGAGUUAUAGAGAAUAGGUUUAAAGUCUACAGUGAUUAAGAAAACAAAAUAAACAUAAAACAGUUCACAUAAGAAUUAUUGAAAAUCAGAGUAACAAAUGUAAUUUGGAUAUUACUAUACAAAUUAUUUAUUAGUGUCAGGUUUAUGAUUUCUGUCUAGACCUAUAAAAGAACAGUUCUCAUGCAAUGGGAAAGACAAGUUAAAGAUGCGUAUAUUAGCAUCCACUUCAGCUAAUUAUGCUCAUGAAGUCAGUUGUUCCAUGAAAGGCAACCUCGUUUAUUGGACAUUUUUAGGAAAUGAUCAAUUCCUCAGAGACGUUGAUGUACACAACUUUAUUUUCAUUCUACCUGUUUUUGAUUAAAAUAUUCCUCAAAGAAUAUAUUUAUUUGGCUAACUUAGAACAGGCCCAGGCGUUUAGAGGAUUCUGCUGAGUGUUUGUUUAUUCCGUCAUUUACUUAGUCAACAAGUAUUGUGUUAUUACUCUUUCCCAGUAAGUCAGGGCCGUCAUUCCUCAUUCCUCAUUGUGUUAAACCUCAGGCGGUUUUGCCCUCGGGCACCUUGAAGCUGUGCCGUGCACUUGGCCUCAAAUACAAGGCUUUGAGAAAAUUAUGCUUUUUGAGCAAAAGCUCCUGUGACUCAGUGAGGAAAAGCAAAACAACUCAAUGGGAAAAAUACAUGAAUAGGCAUUUCACAGAAAAGGAAUAACAAAUGCUCAUAAACAUAUGGAAAGAUUCUCCGUUUCUUGAUGAUCAGAGACACAAGUGAAAACCACACUGAGUUUCCACUGUACACGCUGCUGUGGCCAAGCGUUAUGAGGAAGUGGAGCCGUGGGACUCUUCUCCACCGAUAGCAGAGGCAUCAGCUGUGUCCUUCCGUGGAAGACAAUUCGGGUAUGAGCCAAUAAGCUGAGUAACGCACAUCCCUGCUACCCGGUGAGCCCAUCCCUCGGCGUGAACUCCAAGAAAGACCUUACAGCGGCAGAGGAGGUGGAUGUAAGAAUGUUCUGACAGUACAGCCUGUCAAGAAAAACUGCAGCCACCUAAAUACGUGCUGCAGUGAAGAGAGAUGGACUGGGUACACUCCUACCUGGAAUGCCAUCCAGCAGUGAGGAGGAGUACGUUAUCACUGCUUGCAUCGAUGUGACUGGACGUCUUAAACAAUAUUGAGGAAAAAAGGGACGUCUCAGAAGGGGACCUGCAAGUUCCACUCAGUCUAUAUAAGGGUAGAAAUCUGGCUUAACUGCAUGUAUUUUGUAGGGACAUAGAAAACUUGAUCCAACUGUAAAGGAAAACACCACACAAAAAUGGAGAUCAACACGUUACUCAGAGAGUGUUUACGGAGGAGGGCAGGUAAGGGCUGUGAUGACAGGAGGAGGCGGAGAGGGACCCAAGGCAUGGGGUCAUGUUCUGCCCCUUCAGCAUCGUCUCAUCCAACCAGCGCUUCCUAAAGGCCUGCGAAGCGCCAAGCACUGCCGUAGCACGUAGGGUACAAACUCUUCAAGAGAACAUAUUCCGCAGGAAGCGAAAAAAUGGAUGGAGUAAAUCAUUAACUUAUUUUAGUUUCAAAAGGUGAUAAGUUCUAUGGAAAAAAUGGGAGUUAAGACAGCUUGGUGUGUGUGGAUGGUUUGCAGAAUUAAAUGAGAUGAUGAGGGUACCUUCUUUGAGAAGGAGCUAUUUGAAUCUAGAUUUGAAAGAGAUACGGAGUAAGCCACACGGCUACCUGGGUGAGUGAAAUUUAGGCAGAGGGACCAGCCAGUGCAAUGGUCUCAUUAUGGUGAUGUGUUUGCCAUGUUUGGGGAGACAUGGGGAGGGCACCGCAGCUGACAAUGAGCAGCAUGGUCAGAGAGGUGGAUGCACCAGCAGGGCUGGACAGGGCAUGACAUGCUAGGUCGGGUAUUGGCAGCGUCCCUCUGCAAAGAGGCAGAUGAUAAAUAUUUUAGGCUUUACGGGC